rnacentral:rRNA from 1 species
CCUACGGGUGGCAGCAGUGGGGAAUAUUGGACAAUGGGGGGAACCCUGAUCCAGCCAUGCCGCGUGUGUGAAGAAGGCCCUCGGGUUGUAAAGCACUUUCAGUGAGGAAGAACGCCUGGUGGUUAAUACCCAUCAGGAAAGACAUCACUCACAGAAGAAGCACCGGCUAACUCCGUGCCAGCAGCCGCGGUAAUACGGAGGGUGCGAGCGUUAAUCGGAAUUACUGGGCGUAAAGCGCGCGUAGGUGGCUGGAUAAGCCGGUUGUGAAAGCCCCGGGCUCAACCUGGGAACGGCAUCCGGAACUGUCAGGCUAGAGUGCAGGAGAGGAAGGUAGAAUUCCCGGUGUAGCGGUGAAAUGCGUAGAGAUCGGGAGGAAUACCAGUGGCGAAGGCGGCCUUCUGGACUGACACUGACACUGAGGUGCGAAAGCGUGGGUAGCAAACAGGAUUAGAUACCCGUGUAGUC